UGGGCAGCUGGUGAUCGUUGGUCC
rnacentral:piRNA from 1 species